UAUUGUAUGAAAAAUCUUCGACAGUUAUUGUUCCGAAUUGUCUCGUCGAGUGAUUUGUAUAUUGAUUGUAGUUGUGUCUGCAUAAUACACCAACUACAAGACACACAAAGUCCAUCAGUCAAGAAACGCUGCAUAGCUCACCUAAAGUCAUCAAUACCAUUCAAAUGAGAAGGAAUCUUUGUUGAACGUUGUCAUUUAUACUGCAUUAGGUUGCAUGUUUAAUGUUUUCUUUAUCAUGAGGCAUUGCGAUAAUUAAGCUGAUAGAUAUCGAGCCAACAUUAUUACUAUUCAUCCAGAAGUUGCCACUACUGUUUGCAGAACUGGUGAUAACAUCAUAACGAAGACUUUAAUUUGGUAAUUUAGUCAUCUAAUCCAGAUUUUUCCGAGAUGCUAUUCUUUCUUCCUUUAAGAGGAUUAUCAAGAGAGAGAAAGAGAGACAAAGAGAAUCGUAAGAUCAAAUAUUUGUUAAUGUACUACAAUUGGCAGUAGUUUUGAUCACUUCUACGUAUGAUCGAAGCAGCAACAAGAAAAGUGUUGCUGAUUUACAUUUGUCUAAUAAUCUGCGCUAACGGCACACCCUGCCUCUUGACGCCCUACUUAAGUGACCACAAGGAUUGUUCACUGUAACAGAAUCAGAACCUAAGCUUAGCCGAUUUUCACCAGAGUUUCGUGCAGUUUUACAUGCAUAAACAUAUCCUAAAGCGGAUUUAUAGUAUCAUCAGUUUGGACUGACUGCAGGCGUUCCUAUUGUCAAUGAGUGAAUUCUAUGUACAUGAUCCAACUUAUAACCCGACAUUCCAUCGUCAAGCAAGUUGAUGUUGUACGUCAACUAUUCAUGUUCUUAUAAGCGACACGAAUAAACGCAAGAAUUGUUCAUUGCAACAGGCCUAGUAUCGGCAGCUUCAUUACUUCGAAAAGCAAGAGCGAAACUUUAAAACUGGUAUUUGGUUUUAAUUCUUUAAAAUGCCAAGAAAGUGUUAUGGCAAACCUUAUACGACAAGGCAUAUCCGCCGACAAAUCAGUGAAAGAAGAGCAUCUAUAAUGAAAGAUGUAAAUGCUCAAUUUUUACAAUAUCUUGACUUAGCCUGCCAAACCUUUGAAAAUGAUUGCG